rnacentral:rRNA from 1 species
CCUACGGGAGGCAGCAGUGAGGAAUAUUGGUCAAUGGACGCAAGUCUGAACCAGCCAUGCCGCGUGCAGGAAGACGGCUCUAUGAGUUGUAAACUUCUUUUGUACGAGGGUAAAUCCCGAUACGUGUAUCUGGUUGAAAGUAUCGUACGAAUAAGGAUCGGCUAACUCCGUGCCAGCAGCCGCGGUAAUACGGAGGAUUCAAGCGUUAUCCGGAUUUAUUGGGUUUAAAGGGUGCGUAGGCGGUUCGAUAAGUUAGAGGUGAAAUCCCGGGGCUCAACUCCGGCACUGCCUCUGAUACUGUCGGGCUAGAGUUUAGUUGCGGUAGGCGGAAUGUAUGGUGUAGCGGUGAAAUGCAUAGAGAUCAUACAGAACACCGAUUGCGAAGGCAGCAUACCAAACGACGACUGACGUUGAGGCACGAAAGCGUGGGGAGCAAACAGGAUUAGAUACCCGAGUAGUC